rnacentral:rRNA from 1 species
AGUGAACGCUGGCGGUAGGCCUAACACAUGCAAGUCGAACGGUAGCACAGGAGAGCUUGCUCUCUGGGUGGCGAGUGGCGGACGGGUGAGGAAUACAUCGGAAUCUACUUUUUCGUGGGGGAUAACGUAGGGAAACUUACGCUAAUACCGCAUACGACCUACGGGUGAAAGCAGGGGAUCUUCGGACCUUGCGCGAUUGAAUGAGCCGAUGUCGGAUUAGCUAGUUGGCGGGGUAAAGGCCCACCAAGGCGACGAUCCGUAGCUGGUCUGAGAGGAUGAUCAGCCACACUGGAACUGAGACACGGUCCGGACUCCUACGGGAGGCAGCAGUGGGGAAUAUUGGACAAUGGGCGCAAGCCUGAUCCAGCCAUACCGCGUGGGUGAAGAAGGCCUUCGGGUUGUAAAGCCCUUUUGUUGGGAAAGAAAUCCAGCUGGCUAAUACCCGGUUGGGAUGACGGUACCCAAAGAAUAAGCACCGGCUAACUUCGUGCCAGCCGCCGCCGUAA